UUAUUUGGAAUUUUAUUAAAUUUUAUUAAUGUGUAUGUAAAAAGGAACUUCUAAAAUAUUUGAAGCGUAAAGCUGUAAACAGUUCAUAUUAACAUUUUUCAAUGAAUGAAUUAAUUGUAACAUAUAUGACUCUAAAUCUAUCUAAUUUUAUCUAUCUCUUCAUUUAUUUAUUGGUUUUUAGAUUUUAAUAGUAAAAAUGUUUGCUGUUGUUACAUUUCACGAUGACACUACAUCAGAAGUACCAAGUAAUUGGCUUAUCGAUUCUGAUGAGGACGGUCCAAGCUGUUGGUAGCUACCUUCCAAUACUAAAAAUUUAUCAACUUUAAUAUCAAAACGUAUUGAACCGGUUACAUCAACCUGGCAAAAACUGAGUGUAAACUUAGGAAAAUUUUGUAACACACUUGAGAAAGCUCGGAAAAUAGUAGAGGAUUCUCAAUAUACAAGUGCAAAUGAAGAAGAGCUAGGAAGAGGACGACGUAAACGAUUUUCAAAAAAAUUAAGUCAUAGCAGUGACAAAGAUUCUAGUUCAGAGAAUGUUCAACCACAAAA